rnacentral:tRNA from 1 species
GUUCAUAUAGUUGAAUACAACGAUAGCUUUUCAAGCUUUUAGUCUUGGUGAGAGUCCGAGUGUGAACU